rnacentral:rRNA from 1 species
UACGGGGGGGGCAAGCGUUGUUCGGAAUUACUGGGCGUAAAGGGCGCGUAGGCGGCCAGACAAAGUCGAGCGUUAAAUUCCAGGGCUUAACCCUGGGCUGUUGCUCGAUACUAGUCGGCUAGAGUGUGGAAGAGGGUGCUGGAAUUCCCGGUGUAGCGGUGAAAUGCGUAGAUAUCUGGAGGAACACCGGUGGCGAAGGCGGCAUCCUGGACCAACACUGACACUGAGGAGCGAAAGCCAGGGGAGCAAACGGG